GAAGCUCUUGGGCACCCAUUAGGAUUUUCCAAGGAAAAUGAUCUCUUGUUUCAAAAUCUUCCAAAUUCCCAAUUGCAGAAGGUAUUGGAACGUCCUGGAGCAUUUGUUCUUGAGAUUGGCACUGAAGAGAUGCCUCCUCAUGAUGUAGUUGAAGCAAGUAACCAGCUUAGAAGUCUCACUGUGGAGUAC